GUAAACUGCUUUUAUACAGGAAGAAACACUCCGACGUGUCGGAGCUUGACGGUACUGUAAGAAUAAGGAUCGGCUAACUCCGUGCCAGCAGCCGCGGUAAUACGGAGGAUCCAAGCGUUAUCCGGAAUCAUUGGGUUUAAAGGGUCCGCAGGCUGUUUUUUAAGUCAGAGGUGAAAUCCUGCAGCUCAACUGUAGAACUGCCUUUGAUACUGGAAAACUUGAGUUAUUGUGAAGUGGUUAGAAUGUGUGGUGUAGCGGUGAAAUGCAUAGAUAUCACACAGAAUACCGAUUGCGAAGGCAGAUCACUAACAAUAUACUGACGCUCAUGGACGAAAGCGUGGGGAGCGAACAGGAUUAGAUACCCUGGUAGUCCACGCCCUAAACGAUGUCAACUAGUUGUUGGUGGAGUAAGA
rnacentral:rRNA from 1 species